CCCUAUUAACAUAAAACCCCAAAAGGGAGAUCUAGCUACACAUAAGAUAAAUAAGCAUAUAUAAACCCAUAAUCUCCAUUGAAGUGAUCUAUUGAAGCUUGAGUGAAUGUUAAUUCAAACUUGACACUCCAACAAAUCAACAAUGAUGUGAUCUAAUAUUCCACUUUGAAAAUCUCCAAUGUAUUCUUCACCCAAACAUUAUACAAUUUUUCCUUCUCAAAAAUGGAGGCUAUGAACUCAAGAGCUAGACAUAAAAGUUGGGGAAGAUGGAAUUAUGAUACAUGAUACUAGGGUUUGACUUUUUUUUUCGUAAAAUUGGGAUCCGCCAGAUGAAUUUCUAGUUUUACCCUGGGGCUACCGUCUUCCGCUAAUCCGCAAUUGCAUUAUCUUGGCCGUGACCACGGCCUCCGUAACCAUGGUUGAUUUUCUCUACUUGACUGCCAUAAUUGGGCCAGCAGACUGCGAUUGCAGUAACUGAGGCCCUUCUACUCCAAGUCUUUAGCUUCACUUUUUUGAUCCCUUUUUGAUCAUUUUAAGCUUUAAUCCACAUCUUUCUAUCCCCUCAAUUCUAUGCCUGCAAAGAGUGGAUGUUAGUGCAUUAAAUUAAAAUUGUGUCUUAUUUAUUCAUUCAAAACAAGGUAAUGUGCACGAAUAUUGAGUGCGAAUGAGUGGUAUAAUUACCAUAUAUCAACACCCCAAUUAAAACAUUUUCUUGUCCUCAAGCAAGCUACCCUUACCAUGAGACAACAAUCAUCUAUACCCAAACUUUAUGCCUUAAAACUCACAAUAACUCAACUUUAGUCGCUACCACAAGUAGGUCACUACACAUUGGCUAAGGUAAUUUCCACUACACCUCUCAUCGUAAGAAGAACCAUUGAAGGAUACAUAGGACUUUAAAGAGAAACCAAG
rnacentral:lncRNA from 1 species